rnacentral:rRNA from 1 species
UGGGGAAUUUUGGACAAUGGGCGAAAGCCUGAUCCAGCAAUGCCGCGUGUGUGAAGAAGGCCUUCGGGUUGUAAAGCACUUUUGUCCGGAAAGAAAUCCUUGGCUCUAAUACAGUCGGGGGAUGACGGUACCGGAAGAAUAAGCACCGGCUAACUACGUGCCAGCAGCCGCGGUAAUACGUAGGGUGCAAGCGUUAAUCGGAAUUACUGGGCGUAAAGCGUGCGCAGGCGGUUUGCUAAGACCGAUGUGAAAUCCCCGGGCUCAACCUGGGAACUGCAUUGGUGACUGGCAGGCUAGAGUAUGGCAGAGGGGGGUAGAAUUCCACGUGUAGCAGUGAAAUGCGUAGAGAUGUGGAGGAAUACCGAUGGCGAAGGCAGCCCCCUGGGCCAAUACUGACGCUCAUGCACGAAAGCGUGGGGAGCAAACAGGAUUAGAUACCCUGGUAGUCCACGCCCUAAACGAUGUCAACUAGUUGUUGGGGAUUCAUUUCCUUAGUAACGUAGCUAACGCGUGAAGUUGACCGCCUGGGGAGUACGGUCGCAAGAUUAAACUUAAGGAAUUGACGGGGUCAUAGCUGUUUCCU